GGAUUAGGUAGUUGGUGGGGUAAUGGCCUACCAAGCCGACGAUCCAUAGCUGGUUUUAGAGGAUGAUCAGCCACACUGGGACUGAGACACGGCCCAGACUCGUACGGGAGGCAGCAGUGGGGAAUCUUAGACAAUGGGGGAAACCCUGAUCUAGCCAUGCCGCGUGAGUGACGAAGGCCCUAGGGUCGUAAAGCUCUUUCAACGGUGAAGAUAAUGACGGUAGCCGUAGAAGAAACCCCGGCUAACUCCGUGCCAGCAGCCGCGGUAAUACGGAGGGGGUUAGCGUUGUUCGGAAUUACUGGGCGUAAAGCGCGCGUAGGCGGAUUGGAAAGUUGGGGGUGAAAUCCCGGGGCUCAACCCCGGAACUGCCUCCAAAACUAUCAGUCUAGAGUUCGAGAGAGGUGAGUGGAAUUCCGAGUGUAGAGGUGAAAUUCGUAGAUAUUCGGAGGAACACCAGUGGCGAAGGCGGCUCA
rnacentral:rRNA from 1 species